rnacentral:rRNA from 1 species
CGUGAGUGAAGAAGGCUUUCGGGUCGUAAAGCUCUGUCAAGUGGGAAAAAAGUCUGAUGAUUAAUAGUUGUCAGAUCUGAUGGUACCACUGGAGGAAGCACCGGCUAACUCCGUGCCAGCAGCCGCGGUAAUACGGAGGGUGCAAGCGUUGUUCGGAAUUACUGGGCGUAAAGGGCGUGCAGGCGGGUUGGUAAGUCAGAUGUGAAAGCCCUGGGCUCAACCCAGGAAGUGCAUUUGAAACUGCCAUCCUUGAGUAUGGGAGAGGAGAGUGGAAUUCCCAAUGUAGAGGUGAAAUUCGUAGAUAUUGGGAGGAACACCCGUGGCGAAGGCGACUCUCUGGACCAAUACUGACGCUGAGACGCGAAAGCGUGGGGAGCAAACAGGAUUAGAUACCCUGGUAGUCCACGCUGUAAACGAUGAGAACUAGGUGUAGCGGGUAUUGACCCCUGCUGUGCCGAAGUUAACGCAUUAA